GGCCUAACACAUGCAAGUCGAGCGGUAGCACAGGGAGCUUGCUCCUGGGUGACGAGCGGCGGACGGGUGAGUAAUGUCUGGGAAACUGCCUGAUGGAGGGGGAUAACUACUGGAAACGGUAGCUAAUACCGCAUAAUGUCUUCGGACCAAAGAGGGGGACCUUCGGGCCUCUUGCCAUCAGAUGUGCCCAGAUGGGAUUAGCUAGUAGGUGAGGUAAUGGCUCACCUAGGCGACGAUCCCUAGCUGGUCUGAGAGGAUGACCAGCCACACUGGAACUGAGACACGGUCCAGACUCCUACGGGAGGCAGCAGUGGGGAAUAUUGCACAAUGGGCGCAAGCCUGAUGCAGCCAUGCCGCGUGUAUGAAGAAGGCCUUCGGGUUGUAAAGUACUUUCAGCGAGGAGGAAGGCAUUGUGGUUAAUAACCGCAGUGAUUGACGUUACUCGCAGAA
rnacentral:rRNA from 1 species